rnacentral:rRNA from 1 species
CCUACGGGUGGCAGCAGUGAGGAAUAUUGGUCAAUGGACGAGAGUCUGAACCAGCCAAGUAGCGUGAAGGAUGACUGCCCUAUGGGUUGUAAACUUCUUUUAUAAAGGAUUAAAACGAGGCACGUGUGCCUUUUUGCAUGUACUUUAUGAAUAAGGAUCGGCUAACUCCGUGCCAGCAGCCGCGGUAAUACGGAGGGUGCAAGCGUUACACGGAAUCACUGGGCGUAAAGGGAGCGUAGGUGGGGUAAUAAGUCGGAUGUGAAAGUCUGUGGCUCAACUAUAAAAUUGCAAUUGAUACUGGUACUCUGGAGUACAGGAGAGGUAGGCGGAAUUCGUGGUGUAGGGGUAAAAUCCGUAGAGAUCAAGAAGAAUACUCAUUGCGAAGGCGACCUGCUAAAACAUGACUGACGCUGAUGCACGAAAGCGUGGGGAGCAAACAGGAUUAGAUACCCGGGUAGUC